UCCGGUUGAUCCUGGCGGAGGUCACUGCUAUCGGUGUUCGUCUAAGCCAUGCGAGUCAUAUGUUCUUCGUGAACAUGGCGUACUGCUCAGUAACACGUGGAUAACCUGCCCUUGGGUCUGGCAUAACCCCGGGAAACUGGGGAUAAUACCGGAUAACGCAUAUAUGCUGGAAUUCUUUAUGCGUGAAAUGGAUUCGUCUGCCCAAGGAUGGGUCUGCGGCCUAUCAGGUAGUAGUGGGUGUAAUGUACCUACUAGCCGACGACGGGUACGGGUUGUGAGAGCAAGAGCCCGGAGAUGGAUUCUGAGACAUGAAUCCAGGCCCUACGGGGCGCAGCAGGCGCGAAAACUUUACAAUGCGGGAAACCGUGAUAAGGGGACACCGAGUGCCAGCAUCAUAUGCCGGCUGUCCGGGUGUGUAAAAUACACCUGUUAGCAAGGGCCGGGCAAGACCGGUGCCAGCCGCCGCGGUAACACCGGCGGCCCGAGUGGUGAUCGUGAUUAUUGGGUCUAAAGGGUCCGUAGCCGGCUUGGUCAGUCCUCCGGGAAAUCUGACGGCUUAACCGUUAGGCUUUCGGGGGAUACUGCCAGACUUGGAACCGGGAGAGGUAAGAGGUACUACAGGGGUAGGAGUGAAAUCUUGUAAUCCCUGUGGGACCACCUGUGGCGAAGGCGUCUUACCAGAACGGGUUCGACGGUGAGGGACGAAAGCUGGGGGCACGAACCGGAUUAGAUACCCGGGUAGUCCCAGCCGUAAACGAUGCUCGCUAGGUGUCAGGCAUGGCGCGACCGUGUCUGGUGCCGCAGGGAAGCCGUGAAGCGAGCCACCUGGGAAGUACGGCCGCAAGGCUGAAACUUAAAGGAAUUGGCGGGGGAGCACAACAACGGGUGGAGCCUGCGGUUUAAUUGGACUCAACGCCGGACAACUCACCGGGGGCGACAGCAAUAUGUAGGUCAGGCUGAAGACCUUGCCUGAAUCGCUGAGAGGAGGUGCAUGGCCGUCGCCAGUUCGUACUGUGAAGCAUCCUGUUAAGUCAGGCAACGAGCGAGACCCA
rnacentral:rRNA from 1 species